GACGAACGCUGGCGGCGUGCUUAACACAUGCAAGUCGAACGGAAAAGCCCUGCUUUUGUGGGGUGCUCGAGUGGCGAACGGGUGAGUAACACGUGAGUAACCUGCCCUUGACUUUGGGAUAACUUCAGGAAACUGGGGCUAAUACCGGAUAGGAGCUCCUGCUGCAUGGUGGGGGUUGGAAAGUUUCGGCGGUCGGGGAUGGACUCGCGGCUUAUCAGCUUGUUGGUGGGGUAGUGGCUUACCAAGGCUUUGACGGGUAGCCGGCCUGAGAGGGUGACCGGCCACAUUGGGACUGAGAUACGGCCCAGACUCCUACGGGAGGCAGCAGUGGGGAAUAUUGCACAAUGGGCGGAAGCCUGAUGCAGCAACGCCGCGUGCGGGAUGACGGCCUUCGGGUUGUAAACCGCUUUCGCCUGUGACGAAGCGUGAGUGACGGUAAUGGGUAAAGAAGCACCGGCUAACUACGUG
rnacentral:rRNA from 1 species